rnacentral:rRNA from 1 species
AGAGUUUGAUCAUGGCUCAGAACGAACGCUGGCGGCGUGCUUAACACAUGCAAGUCGCGUGCGCAGUUUCCGUAGCAAUACGGAGAUGGGCGCACGGCGCACGGGUGCGUAACACGUGGGCAAUCUGCCCUUUGAUGGGGAAUAACCCGCCGAAAGGCGGGCUAAUUCCGCAUAAGAUUCUUUGGACUUCGGUCUGGAGAUUGAAAGCAGCAAUGCGUCGAAGGAGGAGCCCGCGCCCGAUUAGCUAGUUGGUGAGGUAACGGCUCACCAAGGCUAUGAUCGGUAGCUGGUCUGAGAGGAUGAUCAGCCACACUGGAACUGAGACACGGUCCAGACUCCUACGGGAGGCAGCAGUGGGGAAUCUUGCACAAUGGGCGAAAGCCUGAUGCAGCGACGCCGCGUGGGGGAUGAAGCAUUUCGGUGUGUAAACCCCUUUCGACUGGGAAGAAUACCUCGCAAGAGGGGUGACGGUACCAGUAGAAGAAGCCCCGGCUAACUACGUGCCAGCAGCCGCGGUAAGACGUAGGGGGCCAGCGUUGUUCGGAAUUACUGGGUGUAAAGGGUUCGUAGGCGGUGCGGCAAGUUGGGAGUGAAAUCUCUGGGCUUAACCCAGAGGCUGCUUCCAAAACUGCUGUGCUCGAGUGUGAGAGAGGCUCGUGGAAUUGCAGGUGUAGCGGUGAAAUGCGUAGAUAUCUGCAGGAACACCCGUGGCGAAAGCGGCGAGCUGGAUCACUACUGACGCUGAGGAACGAAAGCUAGGGGAGCAAACAGGAUUAGAUACCCUAGUAGUCC